AGCUGAUCAGUAUUAACAGAUCUGCCCAUUUUUCUUUUUCAACUGAGAGUUAAUGUAUCUAUAGAGUUAACAUCAUAUCUAUACACAAAUACAUCUGGUUUAGGUUUAAAAUAUUUUAUUAAAAAUUAAUUUCUUACACUCUUGUUACAAAAUGGUGAAUAGUACUUGACAUUUUUAGUUAUUUAUGAUUUGCAUCAAGUUCUCUUUUUAUGAAAACACAUUCAACUAAAAUUUAUUUGAGGUCAUUUAAAAUUGUUCAUUAAAACUAACUUAAAAAUGCUUGAUGCACUUCAAAAGUAUCUUUGCAUUUAAAAAUAUUUUAUUCAAUAACUGAAAUAAUGGCCCCUAGAAGGGGAAUUAAAUUGGAGGUUUCUGGUAGCCAUGGCUUUGGCAAUCUUAGAGAAAGCAGAUCUUAGCCUCUCACACUGGGGUUUAGCUGUAGAUUGACAGAGGAAAAUAGGCAAUCUUACUUUAUCUUCUCUAAUGUUGAUUUUUCAGCUUUAAUAGUCCUUAACUGAACUACUCAAAUGGAUUGAAACAAAGAUAUUCACCGUGCCUGCAGAAAAAACUGCAGCUCUUAAUAAUUGCUUUCCUGCAUCAGUUGCAUCUUGUUCCAUCUGCUUAACCAAGGCACUCAGGCUGGUGGUGUCACCUUCUGAAGCUCAGGAACAGCAAAUACUUCUUUGUGUCAAUUGAAGAGGUGCAGACAAAAUUUCAACAAAAUGUUACAUGAUUUUUUUUGUUUUAAAUAAAUUUCUUUGGGGGAAGGUACUAUGGAAUUAUGUUGUCCAGCAAGGACAAUCCCUAUUUGUAGGUAUUUUGAUCAAAUUCUGAAAUAAUGAAGUAAGGGACCCCUAAAUAGUUAGCUUUGGUUAUACAGAUUGUUACUUCAAGGUGGAAGGGCUCAUAUAUCUCAUUUUUGAAUUAUUGUUUUUGAAGAUGGAAAAUGCUCUAUGUGAGCACUUAGGUAGCAACAGACAAAAAUUAAUUUCAACUGAUAGGGGAAGAAAUGAUCCUCUUAUCUAAAGUGAAGGGCAGUUGGGCAAAUGAAGUUCAGAUGAUCACUGAGGAAGACAGAAAUAGAUAAUAAACAUAAGCCUGUAUAUAACAGUGCAUCAUUUCGGCUGAAUUUUUGUACCUGAUUUGGCUUUUUGGUGGCUGGUAAUUAUUUAUAUGUAGUUUAAAUUAAACCUGUGCUUCAAAACCACCCAUUAAAUUAACAAAUCCAGCCCAUUUAGGAAUUUUUUUUAUGUUUCUUGAGCAGUUUUUCCAGAUAACAGUGCAGACUUCUGUCAGCACAGCAUCACAGCAGAAGAGGAGCAGUAGACCACUGCUGAGUGACAGCCUACAGCUCUGAAAUGUGCCAUCCAUCCUAUCGUAGGGUCUCUGUUCUCAUCACUUCUGGGACAUGUCAGACUCCCUGCACAUGCCCUGCAGAGCUCAUCUGUGCCUGUGCACUCCAGCCUGCACCUCCCAGGUGCCUUCCUGAGGCAUCAGAUGGAAUGCAUAUGUGCAAGGAGCAGCUGAUCCACACAGUCUGGGUGGUGUUUGCCAGGACAGGAGGGUAUGUGGUGCACCUGAGCUCUGAGGCAUGGCUGUAUGUCCAUGAAACCUGGACAAAUAUGGAGGAACAUCAGAUUGUGCCCGGGCAUGGUUAUCACAUGGAGAGAAUGAUGUGCUGUCCAGGAUGGAAAGAUCUGCUCCUCAGGCAGUAGAGCUUCACACUGCUAUAGAAUAAAAGCUGAAAGUGAUUUUUUGCUGAAUUUUACAUCUUUUCCUCAGAAAUUUGGAAGUGGGUCUGAUGAAUGACUAAUAUUGCAUUGUCAUUUCUUUAGUGGGCAGGAGGUUUCUAACCUGUGUGAUUUUUUAAGCUAAUAAAUAAACAGCUAGUUCUUAACACUAAACUUACCAAUCAAAUCAUCCUCCUGUUGUAUUCCAGUAAACCUUUAGCAACUCCUUUCAGCUGGGGUUAGGUGUUCCCUGCAACUCAUAAAAUACGGAGCUGCGGUACUCUGCCUGUGGGGAGAAAGCCUGGAGCCACAUAGUGAUGUAUCUGUUCAACAGUGUGAGACAGAAGUUCCUUAUUCACAGCCCUGCACAGUCAACAUUGCCUACUGGGCUGCAAACCUCAUUUUCAAUUAGACACAGAUGAUAUUGUUUAUGGACUGGAAUUAAUAUUACUGAAGAGGAUGACAGCCUAUUAAGAGUCAAAGGAGUGCUAAUCCAGUGGAGCAGUUGCUCCAGGUAUUCCCAAGAAACUGAGUGAUUCCCACAGAGAGUUUCUGCUACCAGAGUACUGUGCCAUUUGCAACAGCCAUCCUGGAAUACAAUCUGUCCCAGUGUGAGUGGAAACUCCAAAGGUUUUUUCACCUGAGUGAAAACUGCAUUCACAGUGGAACAGCUCAGAGUUUACCAUCAAGUUCUGCAUAAAAGAUUAGAGGAAAGCAGAAGAUGAUAAGAUUUAUUAGCUAGCUCUAGAUCUACUGAAAAAGGAGGAUGCAAUGCACUGUCAUAAUUUAAAAACUGCUGGUAAUUUGAGGUGUUGUAAAGUGGUAUGAUCUCCUUUGCAUGGGUUAAAAAUGGAUGUAGAAGUUGCUACCAAGGAACCAUUAAAACAUAGGAAAAGACUCUCUUGAGCAGGAUUUUGCUAAGCAGCUCUUUCUGAUAUUGUUAAUAAGGACUAGUAUUUAUUAUUUGUUUUGGCAUUUUGCAGUAGUUCCCAAAAUCACAUAGAGAUCACUUGGGAAGGCAUUGUCAGGGCCCUGAUUGCACUAUUAAGUCUUAAUAUCCCUUAUGAGCCACACCUGAGUCCUCUACCCACAAUCCUUGAGAGAUCAGGUGCUCUAUUUAAGCUCAGCCUCAGCCCUUCAUUCCCUUUUUAAGCUUUGCUGGAGAAGUUAUGGGUUAGAGCCCUGCUAUACAGCCAAAUUUGAAGCUAUGCUCUGACUUCCUAGCUUGACCUGAACCUGACUCAUCAUCAGAGUCUUGCCUUAGGAUCUGGAUUCUUCACUGGGCCUGACCACCAUCUCUGGAUUUGUACCUACAGAUAUUCUGAAGUUGUGUGGGAUGGGGCUUGGCCAGUGAGGCACCUGCCUUGGUGACCGUAGCAUUUCCUUUGGCUCACCUUCCUUUAGGAAAUAGCCCUGCCCAGGCUGCUUCCUCACAGAUACAAAGUACAGCAGAGUGUACUCAGGCACAUGAAUCCUCUUGUAGCAAACAGGAUUAAUUAGAUAUUAAAUAUUGGGGUGGGUCAUACACAGGUCAAGGAAGAAGUUUUGAGUUGAAAGUGUUUGAGUUGAUUUUGAGACUCUAGGAAAAGUAUUAAUACCUGCCCUCUCAGUGCAAUGACUUCAAUAAGAUAGUGGAGGAAUUUGGAGUGGAUGCUGGCAGUUCAGCUGACUUUCUUAUCAACAAGAGGCAGACAUUAGCAUUUUGUGCUCCUUUUGAAGCUGUAGGAGUGUAGGCUAGUGCUCCUCACUCUUAAUUGUGGGCUGAAGACUUUGGAAAAUCUUCUACCUGGAAUUUUUUGUGGAGUAGCAAUUAUUUAGGUCAUUCAGAAGCCCUUAAUUCCAAAGGGAGGAAAACAAGAAUGUCCUAUGUUGUAUAUGUUUAAAUAUAGCCUGUGAUUAAUGGGACUAUGCACUACUGAUGUUCUGAGUGUGUAAGCCAGAAGUACUCCCCUACUCUUGGGUGUGGGUGCUGUGCUGAGACAAGACCCAGAGCACAUGAGCCCUUCAUUCAAAGGAAGGUUGGAGUUUCUCAGCUGGGGAGAUCAGGACUGCAUGGUGUACCAGAGAUAACUCUUUUUCAGUAGCAAGUGUCAUUUCUCAGAUAGAAAAGAUUUGUUAAAAGCAUUUUAAGCCCUGUUUGAUUUUACUGGAUCUAAGAUAGUUCCUAAGUUUCUGGCAAACUUUGGAGAUUAUCAUGUCCUCCCCACAGAACACAUCGCAGAUGGAACUACUUGGAACAGGGAGUUUGAGUCCCUAUCACUGCUUUGUGAAGUCAAUGCUCAUUUUAUCUGUGAUAAUCACUGAGCAGCUGAAUGGUUUGGGGAACUUCCAGUUCAGAAGAAUUCCUGAAAAUAUCUCACUUAGAUUUGUUUUGGACUGGAAUCAAGUCUGAAAAGCCCCCUCAAAUUUCCAUUGAACUGCAAAUCUUGCUUUUGAGCCAAAUUUGAUUGGAAAACUUAAACUAGCUAAACCUUGGAUAGGGCCCUGCAUGGAUCUGAUGUGAAUGCAAGUAGUGUCAUUGGAGAUAAUUUGGGGUUCACCCCUGGAUAUAAAUUGUCAUGUCCAACUGAGAGCAUUUCCAGGGUUAAGAUUGUUGUUCCUCUCCCUUUCUUAUCCUAGAAUUUGAGGGAGUAUUUGUCAAUCUCAAAAUUGCAAAGGCUCUGAGUAAGAAGCUGCUGCCCCUGCUCUCCUCAUUAGGACAAAAUGUGUAGGGUGCCUCAGCCAGAAAUUUCUGCUCAUACACCUGACGCUACUCAGGAGCCUUUAGUCAUGCGUCCCUGCAAGGAGCCUGAAAGAGACCUGGGUAGGGAGUGAAAAACUCCAAAGACAGGUGCACUGAGCUACAAUUUGGAGUAGCACAUGAAAACCCCUAACAGAUACGAUACUAUCCUAUAGAUCUAUACUAUAGAUAGCUGCUUAAAAUGAUGUAAUUUGUAUUGAAUCCUCCAGAAGGACUCCUUGACUUUUAAUUCCUUUUGAGAGUCACAUAUAGAUAUUAUCCUUCUGUCCUAAGCUGCUGUGAUGAGUAAGUGAAGCUAACAGAUACGGCUGUGAAUUGUCUUGAAUUGGAUCCUAGAGCCUCCCUUUUAAUUCUAGUAAGCCAUAAGAAGCUGUAAAGAAACACUACAGGAGAAGUGAUGAAGAUUUCAAUCCAAACAAAGUUAUUUGUCCAGAAUCAAAGAUACCAAGAGUUGGUAUCUUCUUUGAGUUCCCUUCUGCUCAGGCCAAUAGGGUGGCAUCAGAGAAAUAGCUGACCAACCAGUUCCUCCUCCAACUGGUGCAACCUACAAUGGCCAAAGUUGUGAGUCAUCAGGUACCAGGUGUUAUAACACACAUGUGUAACUUGCUAGAAUAAUUUUCACA